UGCCAGCCGCCGCGGUAAUACGGAGGGUGCGAGCGUUAAUCGGAAUUACUGGGCGUAAAGCGCGCGUAGGUGGUUUGAUAAGCUAGCUGUGAAAGCCCCGGGCUCAACCGUGGAGGGUCAUUGGAAACUGGGGAACUUGAGUGCAGAAGAGGAGAGUGGAAUUCCACGUGUAGCGGUGAAAUGCGUAGAGAUGUGGAGGAACACCAGUGGCGAAGGCGACUCUCUGGUCUGUAACUGACGCUGAGGCGCGAAAGCGUGGGUAGCGAACAGGAUUAGAUA
rnacentral:rRNA from 1 species